UACGAAGGGUGCAAGCGUUACUCGGAAUUACUGGGCGUAAAGCGUGCGUAGGCGGUUUGUUAAGUCCGUUGUGAAAGCCCCGGGCUCAACCUGGGAAUUGCAUUUGAGACUGCGUAGCUAGGGUGCGGAAGAGGGAAGCGGAAUUUCCGGUGUAGCGGUGAAAUGCGUAGAUAUCGGAAGGAACACCAGUGGCGAAAGCGGCUUCCUGGUCCAGCACCGACGUUCAGGCACGAAAGCGUGGGGAGCAAACAGG
rnacentral:rRNA from 1 species